rnacentral:tRNA from 1 species
GGCAAUGUGCUCAGUAGUAGAGCACUUGCCUAGCAUGCAAGAGGUCCUGAGUUCAAUCCCCAGUACUGCAA